CUUGGCAAAAUAUAGAACUCACGUUGGAUGUUAAUGAGAUCCAGUGGGCUGUAUUUUGCCGAC
rnacentral:pre_miRNA from 1 species